rnacentral:rRNA from 1 species
AGGGCACCACCAGGAGUGGAGCCUGCGGCUUAAUUUGACUCAACACGGGAAAACUCACCCGGCCCGGACACCGUAAGGAUUGACAGACUGAGAGCUCUUUCUUAAUUCGGAGGGUGGUGGUGCAUGGCCGUUCUUAGUUGGUGGAGCGAUUUGUCUGGUUAAUUCCGAUAACGAACGAGACCCUGGCCUAUUAAAUAGACGGUAUAUCGAAAAGUAUAUCGCACUUCUUAGAGGGACAAGCGGCGUCUAGCCGCAUGAAAUAGAGCAAUAACAGGUCUGUGAUGCCCUUAGAUGUCCGGGGCUGCACGCGCGCUACACUGAAAGAAUCAGAGUGCGCUUUGCCUAGUUCGGAAGAACUGGGUAACCCAAGUAAAUUCUUUCGUACUUGGGAUAGGGAAUUGCAAUUAUUUCCCUUAAACGAGGAAUUCCCAGUAAAUGCGGGUCAUAAGCUCGCGUUGAUUACGUCCCUGCCCUUUGUACACACCGCCCGUCGCUACUACCGAUUGGAUGACUUAGUGA